AGAGGUUCAGAAUCGGGCACAGGUUGCUGACUCAGAACUGUGACCCAGCAGAGAAAUAGCGAAAGGAAAAGGGUUAAAAUAAUCAACCUUGUUUCGUUGUUGAACAAGCUGGCACAGGCUGUCUGAGCAGCUGAAGUUCCACCUGUUCUGUGGGACUCUUCUUGCUGUGUCACCCACGUGUGCCUGUGGCAGAGAUGGAAGGAGAGCUGCUAGAAAGGACUGGAGGCCCCAUCUCUGUGUGGCACACAGGCCACGGCCCAUGGUUCUAUUGAGCCUGGAACUUGCUGUAAAGAUAAGAUCUAAAGGCUGCUGCUCUGAGCAGUUGAUGAUUUCUCUGUGCCCAGUGAAGCUGUUCUUUGCAGGAGAGAGAAUUCCAUCUGCUCCACUCAUGGCCACUGUGGGCCUGUCCUCACCACUGGGAAGUCCAGCCAGGCCACUGACUUAGCCUGCACUCACAUGCAAAAGUCUUUAGCCUGAUUAAGUGUUAACUCUUUGUAAGGAAAUGUGCCUUGAGGCUACAGUGGGGAUAACCCAGGCUGUGGGUUUCUCGUGUGAUUCCAGCACUGCUUAAGCAGGAUUUAGCAGUCUCCUCCUCAAGCCCCUCUUCCUACCCCUCUGCCCUGCUCUGGGUGUCAGCAGGGUGCUGAGCUGGACUGAGAGACAAUAGAGUUUGAGAAGGAAAAAAACCAAAUCAUAAAGCAAUUGGGGGGCUAUUUGGUUGAUUUUUUAAAAAGAAAUUCAAAGUCUUUUCUCUGUUUUCCCACGUUGCUGCACGAACAGCUCUGUCACCAAGCGGAGCAGAGGCAGGAGCAGCUCUGCCUCAAAAGCGACAGGGAUUGCAUAAGAGGCACACAGUGCGAAGCUGAGAGAAAGGAAAACUAAAAGCUCAUCAUCUCCCUCAACCUGAAGAUCUACCAGUGUGUGACAGAUGCAAUCAAAACAUGACAAUUGAGUGGAACACCGGACGCCUGUGUUCUGUCACACGGUCAAAUGGUGCAUCAAGGAAGGAAAAGGCAGAGAAGAAGGACAAGCUGUUAUUGGCAAAAAUCCACCACCUAAUUCCAUCAGUGAUCCCACCUACUCAGUCUGGCAACUUUGUAGUCACUUGGUCUCCUGCUCAUUGAAUUUGUGCCUGCAUCGUGCUCUUCAAUUCAAGAAAAUGAAUGCAUUUAGCAGUUUGUCUACAUAGCCAGCUAAUAUGAACGUGCCUGGGAAACUGAUUUUUUUAUAAAUGGUGAAUUCAAAAUGUCAGAGUUUCUGCAUGCCUUCAAAAUGCUUUAAAAGAUGUGAUUUCAACACACCCUUUUGACAGUGGUCAAGAUGUUCCCACUCCCCAGGGCAUUAAAGUGAAACAGACAUUUAUCUAGUUUAAAGAGCAUACAGCAUCUGUAAUGGGUGCAAUGGCACUGUAAGGAUGGGCAGGAGAAUCACAUCAACAAGCAGACAGCACAUGGAAGCAUGAGAUCAUCCUGUUUACCAUGUGUGCUCAUAGGAUCUGCUGUACCAGAGACUGUCAGGAAGCUCUGAGAAAUCUCUGCAUUUCUGGUUCAGAAAGCUGAUCUUCCAGGAAGAAACAUGGCCAUGCAAGGAACUAGAGGUGACUUCAGUUCUUCCCAGUGAAGGUGGUGAGGCACUGGAACAGGAAAGUUGUGGAUGUCCCAUCCUUGGAAGUGUUCAAGGUCAGGUUGGAUGAGAGUUUCACCUCUCUGGGGUGUCCCUGCCCACGGUGGGAGGGUUGGAAUGAGAUGGUUUUUGGGGUCCCUUCCAACCCAGACCAUUCUAUUGCUACUUCAUCUUGUUUAUUCUCUGAGUAGUUCUUUGAGAUGUCAUGAUAGAUUGCCUCAUAUGGGGAAAAUAUGGGUGACAUGGGGUGAAAGAAGAGAAGAGAAAAAGUUCCUAAACUUUUCCUUUGUCCCUGGCCAUCAGAGUGGAUUCAGUGGGAAGGAAGCACACUUAGCCUUUCAACUGCACAGGAUUGUGAACAGGGACCUGGUGAAGUAAAACACCCUUCAAAUGCACAUGUUGAUGAGCUGCAGUGGCUUUUCUGAACCAGUAAUCUACACUACUUCAUUCAUUGUAAAUGGUCUAAUGUUUUGCAUUUUGAGAGUGCAUUUCAGUCAGAGCUUUACAAAUACUCAUUAAGCCCUGAAACACUGCUCUGGAAUAGAUGAAUAAAUUAUAUGGGGAAAGUAAUCAUUAGAAACCUUGUUGUUUUGUUGAAUGGUGUACAGUUUUCAUGUAACCCAGGACUUAAGUGCAGCAAGUCCUUGACACCUAUUUUCACUUUCCUAUUUGAAUAUUCAUUUGGCUUAAGUUAGCAUUUCAUCCCCACAUCUUAUCAGAAUUAAAAUUCAUCCUCCUCUAAUGGAAACUGUGCUGUUUCCCUGCCACAGACAAUGGCUGGCAUCAAAUAAAAUUGUUCUUUGUUCCCAAACUAUAGUUAGAAUUCAGUGCUUAAUCAGAUGCUGAUAGCAAACACUCCGGGUUUCCUUUACAUCCAUGUGACAAUACAAAAGACAAUUGAUAUGUGGCUAGUGUAAGAUUCACUCUGGACAUUCCAGGCACACAGGGCUUUGUUAAUACUCCAAUUUACAGCUUGACAAUAUGUGUUGCCUUACUUUGAGUUGUGUUCCUUUCCCCUAGUGCAAAAACUCUUCAAAUUGUAUCACAGAUUUAUCUUAAAUACAUGUAUCUAUAGAUUUUAUAUUUUGUUCUUAAAAUCUCUUUAGAGUGUUAAAAUGAAAAGAAAGGAUGCUCCCAGGGACAUAUGGUGGGUUAUUAAAUGGUUCCUUCUAAAAAUCCAGCCUGAAUCUGGUCCACUUUGUUAAUCUCCAGAUGUUUCUCAUUGCAUUAGUAUCAAUUUAAAUGAAACAAGUUUAGUCGGGGUGCUCAUAAUAGGAAAAAAAUAACCAUAAUGGUAUCAUUUUUACUACUUUUCUCAGUGAAGCUGAUAUUUGUAAGGCUGGAAUCAUAGGUGCACUUGAUCCUGCCAUCAGCUCUUAUUACAUCAGAGCUUAGAUGUUCACAGAGCCAAGGGUAAGACCUGCAAUAUCCUAAUUCAUCUUAUAACAGCUUUAUGAACUGUCUGUACAAUACCUAUUCUUCUUGGUUCACAAGCCAUAAAAUAAUCUUAGAAAAGUAAAUAUUCUCAAAACAGUUAAAACUGAAAAUUGCAAAGCUGAUUUCCCAUGCACCAAAAUAACUAUGUACCAGAGUUUAUAUGGCAAAAUCAUCAAUACCACCAGCUGUUUUCUCAGCACUCCAGAUGGAUAUAAUUGUGAUAAAAUGUGGAAUUUUAGCGUGAUUUUAUCUGCUUUGCCUCAACCCCAAAGGCAGGGUUAAGUGGAAUAAUGCCCUUCGGUUGAGGUAUCUGUUGUGAAAUUCGCCGAGGGUGGCGAGAAUGGCCAGAAGUGCAAAUGCUGGCUUCUUGUCAGUCUGGAAAUGCCCCGGGCCACUUCUGCCACUACUACAGCAAAGCUGCCACUCGGGAAUUAGCACAUUCCCUACAGAUUUGCAUAUAAUAGAAGUAGUUGUGAUAUUUUCUCAAAAAAGUCUUUGUUUUCACCAUGCCUUCGCCAAACCUGAGCCAGAAAUGUGUCAUCAAAGCAGUCAUUUGUGUUUAAAAAAUGAGCUCUGUUUUCACACUGUUGCCAUGGGACAGCUAUGGCAGGAAAUGAGCAAAACACCCACAUAAUUAUUGUUGACAGAAUACAGUUUCAAUUUUAUCAAGUGUAGCCCCUAUGUGAUAUGUUGUUAAGGCAGCCUUCAACAUCUCAGUGAGUGAAACGCUGAUUUGAGGAGUCUGCAGUGCCCAAAGAAACGUGCAAUUGUUAUGCUUGAAAACCAGAACAUGUUAAAGACGUCUGCCUCACUGAUACGAUAUGGGAGUAAUUAUUGCUAAGUCUCCGAGGAGCAAUUAGAGUUGUUUUUAUUAAAUUUUCAUGUCUUGAUUGACAUUGAAAGUGAAUGAAUCAAUAUGUAAAUCCUGAUUACAGUGAUCUAAUAAGGUAUUGAGAAAGAUGAUACUUUAUAAAACAUUCUGUGGCAAAACUCUACAGCAUUGAGAGGAAAACCCCAUAAAUUUAUCAUGUUGCAAACUGCCUUGCUGUUGUUCUUGCUUUUGAAUUUAAUCUGCUUAGCUACUAUUUAAAUUAGAUUUCAGAGGAUGCUGUAAUUAAGAAGGGGGAUAUAAUUCAUCAUUUGUAGAGAUCACAUCCAUUAUGUAUCUAAAUAAUAUAAGUUAUUUAUAACAGUGUUGUAUAGCAACCUUAGAGAGCUUUAACCAUUAAUCAAUAACAAUGGAGAGAUGUCAAUGUGUAAAAUUGAAUCAGGUAUAAUAAUAUUCCAGUUUGAUAAGUAUCAGGCUAUUCCUUACUGAAAUACAUAAUUCUCUCUCUUGAUUUGCUUGGCUGCUGACUUCACUGAUUAAAAGGAAAUCUAUUUCAGGUGGGUGUUAUUGAGAAGAGCAACACAUUUGUAUGUAUUUAAAAGAUAUAUGGAAUAGUCCUACUUCCUCAAGAAAGGAAGGGUCAAAUAAGAAAGAGCAAUUUUUUGGAAGGUGGAGAUACAAUCAGGCAAAGGAACACAGGAGGACAUUUAUGGAACUGUGCAAUAUUUGGGGAUGGAGGAACAGUUGAGAGAUAUCCCUCAGAUUUUUUUUUCCAGUUUUGUUUAAAGCCUUCCUGUUACUAUAGCUACUGGUUGUGUCAUGCUUACAUAUAGAUGGUUUAUCACAUUGCCUUUGGAAACUGAUUGCUCUUGCAAAUCAUUGAAGCAAAAAGUGCUGAAGGGGUUCAGGUGUGUAGCAGGAGACCAUGGAAUGAAAACCAUGGAAGGACCUGAGCCCAAGCAUAGGAAGAGACAAAAACAGAUCUGGAGGAUUGUCAAGAAGGCACAUCUGCUGGGAUUGUAACAAAAAGCAGGAAGAAACUGGAGAGAAGUGGGAUAUUGGAAAGCUGUGAUGAGGGAUCUUUGAAAAAGGAUUUGGGAAACCACAAUGGGAAGAAAUUGUUCUGCCUGGCAAAAGCUUAUUCAGGAAGAGGACUGAGACCUUGCAAGUUCCAAGCGUGCUGAGAAAGUACCAUCUCUGGAGAGGCAGGGCAGAAGAUGCUAAAAUGGAAUCUUGUCUGGAGCCUUGUGUGGGGAUUGCUGUUAGCAUGCACAGAGGUGUGGUGAGUGAUCUACAGAGUAGCAGCAAGAUAUUUGUGGGUGUAUUAAGAAAAAAUGAGGUGAAAAUCUGUUUUAUCUUUGAUAUACUCAAAUUUGAAAACAUCCUGUUGAACAGGUUAGUUUCUAUUACUACUGUGGGCACUCCAGGGUGAAGUGUUGGGUCUUCCAAAGCAGAUGGAGAGCAACCUUGGGGAGGAGCCUGGAAAGUGAAUUCAGAGGUCUUAAA